GUUUUACAUAUUUACCCUUGUAAAAUACAUGUGUCAAAAUUGUGAAAGUCUAUUUUUGUAAUUUCACCGGCCCAAUAUAUUUUUAUUAAGACGAGAUAGUAGAAGGUUGAGGUGUUUUGUAUUUAGUACAUUAAUUAGUGCGCAUGUAAAAAUGGAGAGAGAGUGGGGAAACGGUUUCUGAGUUUUGAAUUGGAGAGAGAAUAGAUGAGGGGACUGGGGGCUAUGUAUGUAUUAAUGGCUUAUCGGAAGUGACAUUACGGGAUGCUGAUUUAUCUGUCGCUAUUCACUGCUUUACUCCACCAAAUCAUUUACUUUUGCAUAGGGAUGACAGUUCCAACUUAAUUUGAAUGACGAUGGAGGUGUUCCCGAAAAAAGAAUCCUCUCUUUAAAAGUUCAGUAUGGAAAGAGUCCUAAGAGAAUAAAGGCAUUGCUUGGAUAAUCACAAAACAAGUCAAAGCUUCAACACUUUACAAAGUCUUCAACCCCUCUCUUGGUUGCUUGUAUCUCUAAUAUAAACCCCAAUCUACGGUAAUGCUUUACCUUGUAUUUUGUAUACCGGAAGAGAUCUUGUGUACUCACAAUCAGGAGUCAAAAGAGGCUGUGGUAAGAAUGGUUCGUGGAAAGGCGUGUUAAACUUGUAGGCCUAUAAUCUAAUUAGUUGUAGUGAUUCUAUAGCGCCAACGCCGUUACUGAAUGGAUGUAGUCCGAGACCAUAAUAAAAUCUAUAUGUCCACACUCUUAACCUUUAGUGUGAUAGUGUCCUUAUAUUGUAUUUGUAAUUUUGUCGAAACUAAUGGUCAUGUAAUCUAGUG